rnacentral:sRNA from 1 species
GUUGCAGUAGGUCAGACAGAAGUAGUAGCCCAAGCCCAAAUAGUAGCCCAAGCCGGAGCAGGAGCAGGAGCCCUCGUAAUUUUAGGUGGGAUUCAAGAACCAGUGAUAGAUGUGGAAUGAGAGCAGCAUGUAGAUAUUUUCCUUAUGGGAAAUGCAGAAGAGGAAGUAAAUGUCUCUUCCUUCACGGUGACAAUAAAAAAAUUGAUGACAGCAGGGUAAGUUCACGCAGGCAAGAUGGAUCUCUCUUAUAUUCUAGUC